CACUUAUAACACAUCGGAAUGUUUGUUUACUGGUGUAAUAGACCUCUAAAAUUAAAUACAACUUUCAGCAACGGAUCUCUUGGCUCUCGCAUCGAUGAAGAACGCAGCGAAAUGCGAUAAGUAAUGUGAAUUGCAGAAUUCAGUGAAUCAUCGAAUCUUUGAACGCACCUUGCGCUCUUUGGUAUUCCAAAGAGCAUGCCUGUUUGAGUGUCAUUAAAUUCUCAACCUGACUUCGGUUUUACGACUGUUGACAGGCUUGGAUUUGGGGGUUGCCGGCAUCUGUAAAAAGAAAGUCAGCUCCUCUUAAAAGUAUUAGCAGUAACUAGACGACUGUUCCUUGAUGUGAUAAUUAUCUACGUCUUGUGCAAUAGAAAUCAUUAUAACGUUAUGCUUCUAACUGUCUGUUAACUCGGACUGUUUGCUUGUCAAACAUUAUGACUCUUGACCUCAAAUCAGGUAGGACUACCCGCUGAACUUAAGCAUAUCAAUAAGCGGAGGAAAAGAAACUAACAAGGAUUCCCCUAGUAACUGCGGGUGAGGCGGGAAAAGCUCGAAUUUAAAAUCUGUUAGCCUUUGGUUGACCGAGUUGUAAUUUAGAGAAGCGUCUUCCGUGC
rnacentral:rRNA from 1 species